NNNNNNNNNNNNNNNNNUGUCCCCAUGGUGGCCCCAUAUCCCCGCCGUGCCUCAUUGUGACCCCAUUGUGUCCCAUUGUGGCCCAUUGUGGCCCCAUUGUGUCCCCAUGGUGUCCCCAUGGCCCCAUAUCCCCACUGUGCCCCAUGGUGGCCCCAUGGUGUCCCUAUUGUGCCCCAUUGUGUCCCAUUGUGUUCCCAUGGCCCCAUUGUGUCCCCAUGCUGGCCCCAUAUCCCCAUUGUGCCCCAUUGUGUCCCAUUGUGUCCCAUCAUGGCCCCAUUGUGUCCCCAUGGUGGCCCCACAUCCCCACCCUGCCCCAUUGUGUCCCAUUGUGGCCCCAUUGUGUCCCCAUGGUGUCCCCAUGGCCCCAUAUCCCCACCGUGCCCCAUUGUGGCCCCAUGGUGUCCCCAUGGUGGCCUCAUAUCCCCACUGUGCCCCAUUGUAGCCCCAUUGUGACCCCAUUGUGUCCCAUUGUGUCCCCACUGUGCCCCAUUGUGUCCCCAUGGUGGCCCCAUGGCCCCAUAUCCCCACCGUGCCCAUUGUGUCCUAUUAUGGCCCCAUUGCGUCCCACUGUGCCCCACUGUGCACCAUUGUGCCCCAUUGUGCACCAUUGCGUCCCAUUGCGCCCCAUUGCGUCCCACUGUGCCCCACUGUGCCCCAUUGCGCCCCCAUUGUGCCCCCUUCUGGCCCCCAUUGUGCCCCAUUGUGCCCCAUUGCGCCCCAUUGUGCCCCAUUGCUCCCCAUUGCUCCCCAUUGCGCCCCAUUGCGCCCCAUUGCGCCCCAUUGUGUGCCAUUGUGCCCCAUUGCACCCCAUUGCGCCCCAUUGCGCCCCAUUGCGCACCCAUCGUGCCCCUAUUUGGAGCCUCACCUCCUCCCAUUUGGGAUCUCCCUUCCCACUCAAAGUCUGUCCUCAUUUAGGGUCUCUUCUCCCUUAUUUGGGGUCUGCCCCCAUUUGGGGUCUCCCCCAUCAUUUGGGAUCUUCCUCCUCAUUUGGGGUCUGCCCCUAUUUGGGAUCUCCCCCCCACCUCAUUUGGGCUCUAUCCCCAUUUGGGAUCUCCCCCCCUUUUUUGGGAUCUCCCUCCCCAUUUCGGUCUGCC
rnacentral:lncRNA from 1 species